AAAGACUUUCUGUGAUUACACUUGACCC
rnacentral:piRNA from 1 species